AUAAUUCCUAUCUCCCACCUGGUUUUAGCCAAAGUAAUCUAAGUUGUGCUAAAAUUAUUACUGAUAUCAAUUUUAAGUACCAAUGUUGGGGAACUCUUUUGUUUGUUUAUUUUUUCUGUGGAUGAACAUGCAGAUCUGGGGAUCAGUCUAAACGGAGUUAGAGUUCUGAGUUGCUUUCCCCUCUGAAAGGUCCAUACUACCAUUUUGUGCUUCCUCAGGCCCGCUACAGGGAGGCAGAGCAGGAGCCCAGGGCAUUGGCACAGAUACGCUUCUCCACCAAGUCCCACAUACCGGGUGACAGUCUCAAACAUGCUGGGAGAUGCUGCUUAGUCGAAUUGUACUCACUGAAAUCUUGGCACACAUCUCCUGAGUCAUCUUUGAAAGCAGAAGUACUUUGGAAGGAAAAACAGACAUUGAAGGAAGAUCUGAUGCACUUUGCAUUUUCACCAUGAAGAUUAAAGAGUGAUGCAGAAAAUACCCCAAUGUAUAGGUGAAGACUGAAUAAUGGAUCUUACAGCAAGAUUCUAUGGAAUCUCAUGAUGAAAACCACUGACUGUAUUUUCCUCUCCAAGGACAUAAAAUGAUGGGUUGAAGAGGGAAAUGUGUAGAAGAUUUAGAAGUCCUUUCACAUUUUUCAAAGAUGAUAAUUCUUAGAACUAGAUGUAAAUACCAAUUUGUCUCCAUUCGUGAACACAAUAGAAGUCCAUACUCUUAAAAUCAGACAUCCAAAUACAUAAUUAAGGAUGACAUUAUCAGUACUUUGUGUCAAGGAACAAGGAUUUUCUUUUCAAUGCAAGAUCACUUUUAAGAAUUUGGAGCAUCACAAAACUAGACAAUUUCUGAACAACUAGCAGAGAAACAACUCACAGACCCUAGGGAGGGAAGGAAGGAAGGGAGGAAGGAAGGAAGGAAGGAAGGAAGGAAGGAAGGAAGGAAGGAAGGAAGGAAGGAAGGAUAGAUAAAGGGAGGCAGGGAAAUAAUUGGAAUUAGCAUUUUUAGUGAUUCUCUUCACAGAUAUCUUAAAAGGAAUCUUUAAUACUGUCUCAUUCUUAAUGAAGGGAAAUUAAAAUUUAGUGAUAAGUGAUACAGCAAAAAAUCAAGAAAGGCAUCCAG
rnacentral:lncRNA from 1 species